CUCGCUCUAACGGGGCGCCCUGAUCCGACUGUCGGAAGAGGGGCUGAGAGGCGAAAGCCGACCCGCAGAACCUGAUCCGGCUUGUACCGGCGGAGGGAUUAGACGGCUCACUUCA
rnacentral:ncRNA from 2 species